rnacentral:lncRNA from 1 species
AGGUUCCCUGAGCCCUGAAUGGAGGGAUUUGAUGGAGGAAUCUUGUUUAGGGCCGACUCAUUAGACAUUCUUUAAAAGCAAUUUUGAGACAGUGUUUCCUGUGGCCCAGGCUGGCUUUGAACUCACCAUGUGGUCAAAGCUGACACUAAACUUCUGACAGUCCUGCUGGGAUUAGUGGCAUGUAAUUCUUCAUUUUUCAUUUUAAAGACACAGCUUUGUCUCUGCUUCACUGUGGGAACAGCCUUGCGUGGAAGUCCACAGCCAAUCCUGGCUUUGGCCCUUGGUAGCACCAGCCAGAGAUCAGAAGGUACAAGUGUUGGGAUGGGAGGAAGUGACUCUUUCCCUCCCUGCCCACUCCUCCACUGAGGGGUUUAGCUUCCCUGGAGCUGUCUUCUCAGCUAUGGCACUUUUGGCUUAGCAACAACACUGCUUCUUGACCUUCAGCUCCAAGGGAGCAGACACCUUUCUGCUGUGGUUAGUUCUGGAGUGCUCAGCCAUCCUCUGUGAGUUCCCUUAGUCAUCCCUGCAAGUGGUCCCUCUGAAAAGAUCUCCUCAGUGGUGACUCACCAUCUGCUUCCUUCCGGGACCUUGACUGAUGAAGUGGUCAAAAUAAGCUCCUUCACCGGAGGCUCUGAGAGAGGCAAGGAAGAUAAGGAAGAUAGUUCUAUCUGCGCGCCGCAGCCUGCUGCUCGCCAAAUACUGUGGGAACAAUUCGAAGGGAUACAGUGAGAGCGAGCUCUGUGCGGUCAGCGGUCUACACAAGCUACAUAAAUAGCUCUGCCCUCAACAAUGCAUAUGACCGAAUCCUUAUAACAACUCUGUUGCUUUAUCAUAAAUUCAAACAAGAGGAACUGAAUUUCAGAAAGGUUUAGUUACUUUCCCAAGGUCUCCAGCAUGUAGUUUCAGAAUUGGGAUUGAACUCUGGCUGCCUCUAAAGCCCAUGCCCUGUUCACAAUAGUUGCUUAGGACCCUUCUGUAAGCAGAAGCUGUGAGAAUUUCUGGGGUGGAAGGGUCUUGUCUCAGUGGUGGGAAAGCGAGGAUAGGAAGCCUGGCUGCUGUUUCAGGAGAAGAGACUGUGGUGGUGAACUUGGAAGGAGC